AGAGUUUGAUCAUGGCUCAGAUUGAACGCUGGCGGCAGGCCUAACACAUGCAAGUCGAGCGGUAGAGAGAAGCUUGCUUCUCUUGGGGGCGGCGGACGGGUGAGUAAUGCCUAAGAAUCUGCCUGGUAGUGGGGGAUAACGUUCGGAAACGGACGCUAAUACCGCAUACGUCCUACGGGAGAAAGCAGGGGACCUUCGGGCCUUGCGCUAUCAGAUGAGCCUAGGUCGGAUUAGCUAGUUGGUGAGGUAAUGGCUCACCAAGGCGACGAUCCGUAACUGGUCUGAGAGGAUGAUCAGUCACACUGGAACUGAGACACGGUCCAGACUCCUACGGGAGGCAGCAGUGGGGAAUAUUGGACAAUGGGCGAAAGCCUGAUCCAGCCAUGCCGCGUGUGUGAAGAAGGUCUUCGGAUUGUAAAGCACUUUAAGUUGGGAGGAAGGGUUGUAGAUUAAUACUCUGCAAUUUUGACGUUACCGACAGAAUAAGCACCGGCUAACUCUGUGCCAGCAGCCGCGGUAAUACAGAGGGUGCAAGCGUUAAUCGGAAUUACUGGGCGUAAAGCGCGCGUAGGUGGUUUGUUAAGUUGGAUGUGAAAUCCCCGGGCUCAACCUGGGAACUGCAUUCAAAACUGACUGACUAGAGUAUGGUAGAGGGUGGUGGAAUUUCCUGUGUAGCGGUGAAAUGCGUAGAUAUAGGAAGGAACACCAGUGGCGAAGGCGACCACCUGGACUAAUACUGACACUGAGGUGCGAAAGCGUGGGGAGCAAACAGGAUUAGAUACCCUGGUAGUCC
rnacentral:rRNA from 1 species